rnacentral:rRNA from 1 species
UACGUAGGGGGCUAGCGUUGUCCGGAAUCAUUGGGCGUAAAGCGCGUGUAGGCGGCCCGGUAAGUCCGCUGUGAAAGUCCAGGGCUCAACCCUGGGAUGCCGGUGGAUACUGUCGGGCUCGAGUCCGGAAGAGGCGAGUGGAAUUCCAGGUGUAGCGGUGAAAUGCGUAGAUAUCUGGAGGAACACCGGUGGCGAAGGCGGCAUCCUGGACCAAUAUUGACGCUGAGGAGCGAAAGCCAGGGGAGCAAACGGG